GACGAAUGCUGGCUGCGUGCUUAACACAUGCAAGUCGAACGGUGAACAGGGGCUUGCCCCUGGGAUCAGUGGCGAACGGGUGAGUAACACGUGGGCAACCUGCCCCUCACUCUGGGAUAACUCCGGGAAACCGGGGCUAAUACCGGAUACGACCAGACACGACAUCGGGUCUGGUGGAAAGAACUUCGGUGAGGGAUGGGCCCGCGGCCUAUCAGCUAGUUGGUGAGGUAACGGCUCACCAAGGCGACGACGGGUAGCCGGCCUGAGAGGGCGACCGGCCACACUGGGACUGAGACACGGCCCAGACUCCUACGGGAGGCAGCAGUGGGGAAUAUUGCACAAUGGGCGAAAGCCUGAUGCAGCGACGCCGCGUGAGGGAUGAAGGCCUUCGGGUCGUAAACCGUCUUUCAGCAGGGAAGAAGCGAAAGUGACGGUACCUGCGAGAAGAAGCACCGGCUAACUACGUGCCAGCAGCCGCGGUAAU
rnacentral:rRNA from 1 species